CUUUCUUUGCUGGCGACCGGCGCACGGGUGAGUAACACGUAUCCAACCUGCCCUUUACUCGGGGAUAGCCUUUUGAAAGAAAGAUUAAUGCCCGAUAGUAUAAUGAUUCCGCAUGGUUUCAUUAUUAAAGGAUUCCGGUAAAGGAUGGGGAUGCGUUCCAUUAGGUUGUUGGUGAGGUAACGGCUCACCAAGCCUUCGAUGGAUAGGGGUUCUGAGAGGAAGGUCCCCCACAUUGGAACUGAGACACGGUCCGA
rnacentral:rRNA from 1 species